CCUACGGGAGGCAGCAGUGAGGAAUAUUGGUCAAUGGGCGGGACUCUGAACCAGCCAAGUAGCGUGAAGGAAGAAGGUACUUAGUAUUGUAAACUUCUUUUGUCGGGGAACAAAGUCGGAGACGCGUCUCCGGAUGCGUGUACCCGAAGAAUAAGCAUCGGCUAAUUCCGUGCCAGCAGCCGCGGUAAUACGGAGGAUGCGAGCGUUAUCCGGAUUUAUUGGGUUUAAAGGGUGCGCAGGCGGGAGAUUAAGGCAGCGGUAAAAUGCCGGGGCUCAACCCCGGCCGGCCGUUGAAAAUGGGUGUCUAGAGUGGGAGAGAGGUAGGCGGAAUUCGUGGUGUAGCGGUGAAAUGCAUAGAUAUCACGAAGAACUCCGAUUGCGAAGGCAGCAUACCGGCGCCAUACUGACGCUGAGGCACGAAGGUGUGGGGAUCGAACAGGAUUAGAUACCCGUGUAGUC
rnacentral:rRNA from 1 species